rnacentral:rRNA from 1 species
ACGAACGCUAGCGGCGUGCUUAACACAUGCAAGUCGAACGGAAAGGCCCUGCUUUUGUGGGGUGCUCGAGUGGCGAACGGGUGAGUAACACGUGAGUAACCUGCCCUUGACUUUGGGAUAACUUCAGGAAACUGGGGCUAAUACCGGAUAGGAGCUCCUGCUGCAUGGUGGGGGUUGGAAAGUUUCGGCGGUUGGGGAUGGACUCGCGGCUUAUCAGCUUGUUGGUGGGGUAGUGGCUUACCAAGGCUUUGACGGGUAGCCGGCCUGAGAGGGUGACCGGCCACAUUGGGACUGAGAUACGGCCCAGACUCCUACGGGAGGCAGCAGUGGGGAAUAUUGCACAAUGGGCGGAAGCCUGAUGCAGCAACGCCGCGUGCGGGAUGACGGCCUUCGGGUUGUAAACCGCUUUCGCCUGUGACGAAGCGUGAGUGACGGUAAUGGGUAAAGAAGCACCGGCUAACUACGUG